rnacentral:lncRNA from 1 species
CUGCUCAAAGGCUGCAGAAAAGAUUCAUCUAUUCCUUAUCAAACGAGGUGGAAUACAUGACUAUUUAUAGGGCUUCUAAACCCUAACUCCUAAUAGGACUCUUACUUAAGACUCCUACUUCUAAACAACUCCUAAUAGGACUCCUACUCAAAACUCCUACUUCUAACCAACUCCUAAUAGGACUCCUACUCAAGACUCCUAUUCCUUUACAACUCCUAAUUCAUCUAUAAGAAAAAACCUCCUACAUGAAUGCCCCUCUCAAUUAGGACUCUCCUAGCUAGAGUCCUAACAGAAUGUCCCUCUCAAUUAGGACUCUCCUAGCUAGAGUCCUAACAGUUUUACAUGAAUGUCCCUCUCAAUUAGGACUCUCCAAGCUAGAGUCCUAACAGUUUUACAUGAAUGUCCCUCUCAAUUAGGACUCUCCAAGCUAGAGUCCUAACAGACCCGCCCUCUUCAAAUCAGCCUUGUCCUCGAGACUGAUGAUUCGUGAAUUCUAGGAAUUUGAUCUUCAAGUCGUCAUAGUUCUCCCAAGUGGCAUCUUC